AGUAGCACGUAAUCAACCAUAGAAUUAAUCUUCUUUUUUUCUAUACUAGUUGUUUACUAAAAAGAGCUUAUCGAAAACUAUGAUUUAAAAUCAGGUAGAUCAUCUAUCAGUUGAUUAUAAAUCCUAAAUCAAAUUUUGAUUAGUUGUACAAACAACUGUCAAAUAAAAUUGCUAACGUCAAAUGUGAAAACAAUUACGAGAACUGUCUUUCAAAAUUCGGAACAAGGGAGCAAGGAGCAAUAGAAAGCCUAAGUACACUUGACAGAGACGGGCGGAGCUUAUACCGACUCCAAACAAUUUCGUUGAUAAUGGUAAAUGCCCAUAAGCAAUUGUUCAUUUAGUGUUUUCGUGGACUAUGUGAUAAAAUAAGACUUUUCAGUUGAAUGAACGUACUAUUUAAGAAGUUUUUAUUAGUUUUUCACCAGAAAGCGAACUGUAAAAAACCUUGUGACCGACCUACUACCAGGACCUUCAACCGAACCACUACCAGGUCCUUCAAGUGAGCCACUACCAGGACCUUCAACUGAGCUACUACCAGGACCUUCAACCAAACUACUGCCAGGGUCUUCAAAACGAGAUCAUGAAGUGACUCAUAUUAAACUUGAUGCUUCACUCCUGAGUCCAUCAUCUGCAUUUCAAGAUGCUGAGAAUUACUUUUUGAGGCAGCAGGUGGUUGAUUGAUGAUCACAAAUUUCAAUUAUCUUUCAAUUGUGUGCAGCCCUCACAAACUUGCAAUAUCCCCCAAUUAAAGAAGUUGAGUAUUAUUGGUAGGAUCUAUAAUGUAGGUUAUACCAUUUAAUGUGAACUGAAUUGAUUAACCGUAUGGAGUUGAGCCUAAGUAAGACAUAUUAUAAUUUUGAGUUUUAAAUAUUUUUUAUUGUAGCAAUAUAUUUCUUUAUUCGAAUUUUUUUGUAAAAAGUUUAGAAAUUUUUAUUUAAAAAAAAUGUAUAUUUAAAUUUUACUUAAUUUAUAAAUGACUUGAUGUAAUACAAUUAUUGUUAAAAGUAAUAAUAAUACGGUUUUUCUAAUUUAAUAAAAGCCUGUGAAUUCAACCACAAUUGUCAUAAAGUAAACAAAUACAAUUUGUUUCAAAAAUCUUUAUUGACAAAAUGGCAUUGUACAUUUAUAUUAAAAAACAUAAUUUCCUGAACAAAAAUUUGUAUAGAGUGGCUUUUCAGCCUAAAAUGAAUAGUAAAGAUUUUUCCAACUGUAUACUCCAUCUGUUAACACUGUAGAUUAGCCUAAAAUCGCAUUGAAAAACGUCAAAAAUUUUUAUUUAAUUGUCUUAACAACUUUGGUAAGUAUUGUUCUAUAUAGAAAUUUUCCAAGAGUAAAAUGUAUUCUUUCCAUGAAUAGUCAAACUCUACAAUUGUCACAACUGUUUCCUUCAAGGUAUAAAUACAUAAAUAAUAUUUUUUAUUUUUUAAAAUAUGUAAAGCUCCUUGAAUUUGGUGAUAAUUGUGUCUUGUAUUUAAGGUCAAGUUACCCUCAUGUCAUAAAAAACUAUAUAUUUAUUAAAAUUCCUCAAUUUUUCAGACAACUUACCAUUUUUGAAAGAAUAUGGGCAUUUCACUUCUACAAUGGCUCAAUGGCUUCUUCUUCAUCAAUAAUUCCAUCAGGGCUAGCACCAAGAAGUCCUGAAUUUGUAAGCCAUACUCCAGUUGGCAGAACAUUUAAAUUAUAAAUCUGGUUUAAAUGAUCUAGAGCAGGGAUGGGGAAACUUUUUUCUUUGCGUGCCAAUUUUUGUUAAUGAAAUAUAUGACGAGCCAAGUAGCAUUACAUUAUUUACUAAAAUAGAAA